rnacentral:snRNA from 1 species
AUACUUACCUGGCAGGGGAGAUACCAUGAUCAAGAAGGUGGUUUUCCCAGGGCAAUGCUUAUCCAUUGCACUCCAGAUAUGCUGACCCCUGCAAUUUCCCCAAAUUUGGGAAUCUCGACUGCAUAAUUUGUGGUAAUGGGGGACUGUGUUGGUACUCUCCCCUG